CAGUUAAAGUGUCACUUAACAUUCUGGAGAAUGUGAAAUAUACCGCGCGGUGUCAACUCCCCAAAACCAUAAAACUAACUUUAUGGACCUCACGUGACUUUCUCGAGCCAGUGAGGGGUAUCUGUCUGACUUCUCGGUGAUUUUUACGAUCUAACUUCGAGAUAAAACCCCUAUCCAUUUGACAUCUAAAUGUCAUAGCGACUUUUGGGAUAGUUUGCUAUGGACAAAGGGGGACAAAGUCAAGGGGUGAGGGGGAAGGAGGGCCCAGUAGAGCCUCCAAGGCCCUGGGCUGCCUCCUCACCAGCCUCCCCCUCCCCCCCAAGUCCUGUAAGAAGUUGGGCCAAGCUGGAAGGGAUGAGCGGGUCUCCAAGGAGGAAAAAGUCGUGCCCUUCAGCCGGCGACUGCUGAUGGCUUCGCAUUCCCUUACUUGUCGCUGAACUCCUCCUUGAGGCAGGAAAAGGCGCCUGGAGCUUUCAGCUGAGGGCGGAGAGAUAUCCCGCAACCCUGAUUUGGUCUCCGGAGCCACAGGCCAGGAGCAGAGGGCCAAGGCCAGCAGAGACCAGGCCGCGUGGGCAGGCCAAAGCCACGGCCUCAGCAAGCAGGAGGACCGAAAAGCGCUGCUCAGGUGCCGGACCCUCUUGGCUCCGUCUCUGCAAGGGCUCGGGCUAGGGGGCCUCGGCGGUGUCCCUCGUGCCACAGACAAACGAGCGAAAGCUAGAGAAUACGGGGGAAACGGCCCUUCUCUGUCUCCCAAGUCUGAGCCUAGAGAGGCCAUUCCGAGCCUCAGCACAGCCGGGGCGCAGCUCUUGAGACUGAGAAGGACCGCGCCAGCCUUUAUCUCGACUGUAACUUCCGAGGUCAAGUCAUGCCGGCUGGGGCCCGCCAGGCUCCAGGCUCCGCUGCGGAGUUUCCGGCACAGAGACCGCCGGGCGGUGGCGGGGGUGGGGAGUGGCAGGGAGGAGCAGAGGUGACUGAGCGGCGAGUUUUUACAUCUUUAUUAUCAUCAUCAUCAUCAUUAUUAAUAAUAUUAAUAUUAUUACCGCAGUAUUUCACGUCCAGAGCUAAGACAAGAAGACUACAAACACAACACAUAGAAAAUUAAUAAAAUAGAACUUUGUUUUCUU